rnacentral:rRNA from 1 species
CAGUCGCCGCGGGAAUACAGAGGGUGCAAGCGUUAAUCGGAAUUACUGGGCGUAAAGCGCGCGUAGGUGGUUUGUUAAGUUGGAUGUGAAAUCCCCGGGCUCAACCUGGGAACUGCAUCCAAAACUGGCAAGCUAGAGUAUGGUAGAGGGUGGUGGAAUUUCCUGUGUAGCGGUGAAAUGCGUAGAUAUAGGAAGGAACACCAGUGGCGAAGGCGACCACCUGGACUGAUACUGACACUGAGGUGCGAAAGCGUGGGGAGCAAACAGGAUUAGAUACCCCUGUAGUCCCUGUCUCUUAUAA